rnacentral:rRNA from 1 species
UACGUAGGGGGCAAGCGUUGUCCGGAUUUAUUGGGCGUAAAGAGCGUGUAGGCGGCCUGACAGGUCUGCUGUGAAAACUCGAGGCUCAACCUCGAGAUGUCGGCGGAAACCGUCUGGCUAGAGUCCGGAAGAGGAGAGUGGAAUUCCUGGUGUAGCGGUGAAAUGCGCAGAUAUCAGGAAGAACACCUAUGGCGAAGGCAGCUCUCUGGGACGGUACUGACGCUGAGACGCGAAAGCGUGGGGAGCGAACA